AUUGAACGCUGGCGGCAUGCUUUACACAUGCAAGUCGAACGGCAGCGGGGAGGAGCUUGCUUCUCUGCCGGCGAGUGGCGCACGGGUGAGUAAUACAUCGGAACGUGUCGAGAAGAGGGGGAUAACCACCCGAAAGGGUGGCUAAUACCGCAUAAAUUCUGAGGAAGAAAGCUGGGGACCUGGGAAUAGGCCUAGCGCUUUUUGAGCGGCCGAUGUCGGAUUAGCUAGUUGGUGAGGUAAAGGCUCACCAAGGCGAAGAUCUGUAGCGGGUCUGAGAGGAUGAUCCGCCACACUGGAACUGAGACACGGCCCAGACUCCUACGGGAGGCAGCAGUGGGGAAUUUUGGACAAUGGGGGCAACCCUGAUCCAGCCAUGCCGCGUGUAUGAAGAAGGCCUUAGGGUUGUAAAGUACUUUUGUUAGGGAAGAAAAGUCAGCUGUGAAUAAUGGCUGAUACUGACGGUACCUAAAGAAUAAGCACCGGCUAACUACGUG
rnacentral:rRNA from 1 species